UUGGUGGGGUGAUGGCCUACCAAGGCAGUGACGGGUAGCCGGCCUGAGAGGGCGACCGGCCACACUGGGACUGAGACACGGCCCAGACUCCUACGGGAGGCAGCAGUGGGGAAUAUUGCGCAAUGGGCGGAAGCCUGACGCAGCGACGCCGCGUGAGGGAUGACGGUCUUCGGAUUGUAAACCUCUUUCACCCACGACGAAGCGAAAGUGACGGUAGUGGGAGAAGAAGCACCGGCCAACUACGUGCCAGCAGCCGCGGUAAUACGUAGGGUGCAAGCGUUGUCCGGAAUUAUUGGGCGUAAAGAGCUCGUAGGCGGCUUGUCACGUCGACUGUGAAAACCCGGGGCUCAACUCCGGGCCUGCAGUCGAUACGGGCUGGCUUGAGUGCGGUAGGGGAGACUGGAAUUCCUGGUGUAGCGGUGAAAUGCGCAGAUAUCAGGAGGAACACCGGUGGCGAAGGCGGGUCUCUGGGCCGUAACUGACGCUGAGGAGCGAAAGCGUGGGGAGCGAACAGGAUUAGAUACCCUGGUAGUCCACGUCGUAAACGUUGGGCGCUAGGUGUGGGGACCUAUCCACGGUCUCCGUGCCGCAGCUAACGCAUUAAGCGCCCCGCCUGGGGAGUACGG
rnacentral:rRNA from 1 species